AAUGCGGGAAGAAUCUCAUAAACCGUGGCUCAGUUCAGAUCGUAGGCUGCAACUCGCCUACGUGAAGGAGGAAUCGCUAGUAAUCGCAGGUCAGCAUACUGCGGUGAAUACGUUCCCGGGCCUUGUACACACCGCCCGUCACACCAUGGAAGUUGGCCACGCCCGAAGCCGUUACUCCAACCCUUGUGGAGGAGGACGUCGAAGGUGGGGCUGAUGACUGGGGUGAAGUCGUAACAAGGUAGCCGUACCGGAAGGUGCGGCUGGAUCACCUCCUAA
rnacentral:rRNA from 1 species